CAGACUGACUAAUGCAUCUAUCCUAAUUUUUGUCCAUGAGUCCUGGGAUAUUUAGGGGAUUCAUACCAGUUAUAAGGGGAUACAACAUCGGCAUCAGAUUGGUUGAAGAUUUCUUGGCUCGCUCUGCUGUGAAGAAGUGCCGCAGCUUUUCUGAAACUGCAGACAUAAUUGCACAGAGAUUACUGUGGACCAGGUGAACAUUGUGUGGGUAAGUUUAAGUUUGUGUGGCCUUCAAAAGAAUUAUCGGUGGGAUAUAAAAGCAAAAUAUUCAAUCAUAUUCAGCACUUUUUAUGGCAAGGGGUAAAAGACUACAUGCAUUGACAUAGAAAAACUUGCCUUUUUUAUUCCUCCUGUCAUUGUUGCUUAGUCCAGUAUUACCUUAUGUUGAGGUUUGUUGGUGUGUAUGAACAACAUACACAGAGUACAUAAACAUAACUAAGCUUUCCACAAAGUUUUUAUGUUCAUAUGUUGGUUUUGUCAUACACUGAAUAUUUUGGAGUCUGCAUUCUCUUAUUUUAUUUUGUUUGUGAACACCUUGGAGAGUAUUAUAAAAUGCAAACCACUAUAUUCUGGUUGACUUUCUUAACUUAGGUGUGCAUGUAUGCUGCAUACACACUUGUUGAUAUAGCAAAUGAUAUAUUUUGCUGAAAAUAUUAUAUUUUAAUUCAUUCUGUUUGCUGGAGUUCUUCCUCCUUUUUAACACAAACCUUUUUUUAAGAAAAAGGGCUUUGUAGAGUAAGGAAAGAACUUCUAAACCCAUAAUGGCGAACCUAUGGUACAUGUGCCCGAAGUGGCACAUGGAAUCAUGUCACCUGACACUUGCAGCAUCGCCUGUUUCUCUUCUGGGCUUCUAGCAUGCAUGCGCACACGAUGAUCAGUUGGCCUUCAUGCGUGCAGCAGUGCUGGAAAUGGGAAGAGCUGUCUUCUGUUUUUCAGUGUGAGCAUGCGCGCAGGUCAGCUGAUCAUUGUGCGUGCAUGCAUACCAGUAACCAGAAGACCUUCUGGUGCACUGGAAACCAGAAGUACAUUUUCCAACACAUGCAUGUCUCUUGAUCAGCUCCUCUUCCGGGUUGUGACCCAGAUGAGCUCUCCCUUUUCGGCACUCAGUGCUGAAAAGGUUCACCAUCACUGGUCUAAACUCAUGAUGAGAAAAUGUCUUGGUUAUGAUUCUUCUAAGCUCUGUUCUUUCCAGCGUUAAACAAAGCUUAAUUAUUUACUUUGAUUUAUUUGAGGUUUUGCCAUUUUUCCUGUUGUGGUGAUUUGAGUUCAAUGGAUGUUGAAAACUUGACAGUGGCCAAAAUAAUGUACCAGAAGAAGCCACUGCAUUCCAAUUCCAAUAAAACAAAAGAGAAGACUAAGAAGAAGCAAGUAAAAUUGUCUUUAGGAUGGAACAUCAAAGUGGCCAUCACUGAGCCAUUAAUAAAAACAACAUACUAUGUUUUCUAUUCUUAGAGGAGCCUAAAUAUUUUGAAGAAACUUGGCAGACAGCAAGAAGUCUUCAAAGAGUAUAAAAGCCUCACUUCAAACCUAGAAAUUAUUCAACAAUACAGACAUAAAGUCUAUCAAUCCAAGUAGCUCAUGCAUAAUUCAUUCCCUGAACAUUGUUUUAGAUUGCCUAGUACCACCAGGACUUAAAAUCAGUAAAAUAGUUUUCUGAUGCUUUUUAAUAGAACAGGAUCCUACUGAGUUUUCAACAGCAAUUAAAUCCCUGGACACUGUAUAGAAUGAACCUGAUCUGGCUAGCCUUCAAAUAUUGUUGUGUUUAGAGAUCUGUGGCUAUGUCUAUUGACCCAAGUUGGUUUCAUUAUAUUUCAUCAAAGUCCAAACCAUACAAACCUGUUCCUGAAGAUAACUAAGCCAUGUCACAGAGCUGAUGAAUAAUGACAGACAGCUCCAUUGCUUUCUGUGGUGCUGUGUGGAUCAUGGAGAAGUAACAUUAAUAAAGAAGAUAAGUCACUUCUCAGACCUUAAGAAGGGAUAUAAUAUUGCACAAGUGAAGCUGUGUAUACAAUACUAUGAUUUCAACCAAGCAGAUAGCAGGAAUACUGAAACAUAACUUGAAUGGAUUUGUAACUCAAGUUCAUAUACAAUCAAGUACCUAACCAAAGUGAUGCAUCUCUACUUCUGGCUUUUUAGGUGUUGAGCAUAAACUUCCUGACUAAGGUCUAGAUGAUGUUAAAGAAUUAAGAACUAAUCUAACCAUCAUAGAGACAACUUCAUCAUAUAUCAAAUAUUAUAAAAUUAACUUCCUCUUUAAUCAAAGGUUCAGUUGAAUUAGAAUUAGUAUGCAAUACUGCAUUCUAACCACUGGGCCACCACUCAUAAAUAAUGAAUUUAGUUUGUAAUCUUAUCUUGCAACCAAGAUUAUGGUCUUUACUAAAGGACUAAAAGAUACACAUGACAAUUGAUGGUUAAGUGAUUUUUAAGUAUCCAAGUAAGACCUUUCAUACCUCAGGGGAAAAAGUGGCUGACUCACAAGCAAACUUGCUUGACCCAAGAACUAAAACUGCUUUCCUAAGAUUAUUCUAUGAGAGAGGAAGCAGGAUUCUUUCAAUAGUCCUUAAGAUAUUCAUGGUCAAAAUGAGGUCCAUUUCAUAGUGGAAUUCAGUGAGGUCCUGACCAAUGUAUUAAGAUAGGCAUCUAAUUUUUGCUGAAAAGAUGGUUACCAAGGAUUGAAAAAAGAAUGCUACUUUCCACGAUCAAAUAUUGAUUAAAUAGGAAUUUUAGAUUUAGAAUAAUCCAUAUUGCUGACCAUUUUUAAUCAACUUGAAAAAGGAUAGUUCAUAUAAUAAUCUUCAUAUAAAACACAAUGCAUCACUACUGUUACACUUUGUUGGGCACUCAAGUUUAACUUAGAUUAAAAAGACAUUACAUUAAAACAUUUCUGAAAGAAAAUCCCAUUAUUUUCCCAUUAAAAUCCCAUUAUUUUCUUGCACAAUCUUCUCCUGUUCUAAGUAAGAUAAUUGUUUUAGAAAUUGAUACUACAAGACCUUCUAAUAAAAGUAAGUCUUCAUGAGUUUUUUUAAGGCAGCCAACCUACUAGUAUCUCCUAAUAAUUUUUCAGUUAGCAUAAUCCUGGUUAAAGGAAGAAUUUUCUGAAGCCAAAGAAGCAAGAUAAGAAGGAUCACCAACCAAAGAUUCUGUGAUAGGAAUUAUCAUUUUCUCCCUUUUUUCUUCCUGCCAAUUCUUCUGCAAACGGAUUCAAUGGUAGCACUCAGUGUGAACUGCUACCAUUUCUGUUCUUGUGAUCCUGUGGUGAAAAGAAAGGAAUAAAAAUCUUUUUCUCUAUUCCCAUUGUUCCUUUGGCUCAGGUACCUUGAAGUGUUCCAAUAUUUGCUUCACUGGAAUAUGGAAUGCUAAACUAGUUUAGGUUUUGUCAAAGUGCAACAAACUGAAAAUGUUUCCGUGGAACACUCCAGAUGGGAUGUUUGGGUUUGAGAGCUAAAACAAAACAUAUUUUUCUAUUUUAUGCAGAACUCCAGACAGAAGCAUGACUUUAAACAGACAUAGCCAAUAAGUGUGCCUAGAUUUCUUUUUUCCUUUUUUACGCAAUAACCAGGGGAGUUGUUUUCAUUCAGAUUGUGAAUCAGUUUCUUUCCAGAUGAAAUCCUGAUGAUCACAUACACAUGCUACUCUAGAGUGAGCUCCAGAGAAGAAGAGCCCCCAUUGGCAUCAGUCUGAAUUCUCACUCUCCAGCCUCACCCUAAAAUUAUUGCAAAUGAAAAAAUAAGUGUUGUCAACUUCAUGCUGAGGAGGCUGUAAACAUUCACCCUCUUGGCAUGCAGUAGUUCCCUUAAUGAAAAUCCUCAGUCCAGUAUUUGAGAGGCUGCCACAAAGAGGAAGGUGGGGUCAACUUAUUUUCC